UCUGACUGUGCAAAGGUAGCAUAAUCAUUAGUUUUUUAAUUAAAAGCUUGUAUGAAGGGUUGGACGAGGUAAAAUCUGUCUCUAUUUAAAUUAUUGUAGAAUUUAAUUUUUAAGUUAAAAAGCUUAAAUUUAUUUAAAAGACGAGAAGACCCUAUAGAUCUUUAUAUAAAUUUUAAUAGUUUUAAUUAAGAAUAUUUUAUUUAUUAUUAUUAUUUAUAUUUUAUUGGGGUAAUAAAAAGAUUAAAUUAAUUCUUUUUUUAUUUAAACAUUUAUUUAUGAUUAAAUGAUCCAAUAUUUUUGAUUAAAAGAUUAAGUUACCUUAGGGAUAACAGCGUAAUUUUUUUAGAGAGUUCAUAUCGAUAAAAAAGUUUGCGACCUCGAUGUUGGAUUAAAAAUUAUCUUAGGUGCAGAAGUUUAAGAUUUUGGUCUGUUCGACCAUUAAAUUUUUACAUGAUCUGAGUUCAGACCGGUGUAAGCCAGGUCGGUUUCUAUCUUUAAUUAAUUUUAAUAUUUUAGUACGAAAGGACCAAAUAUUUAAUAUAUUUAUAUUUAAUUUUUUGAAUAUUAUUAAUUACUUUGGCAGAAUAGUGUAAUGAAUUUAGAAUUCAUAAAUGUAAAUUUUUUACAAGUAAUAUUGUUUUAUAUAGAUAUAAUAUUUUCUUUAAUUUGUAUU
rnacentral:rRNA from 1 species